GGGCUGCGCGUUGUAAAGUUUCCCUCGGCAACUGCUAAAAUUAUUCACAAGGCACUGCAGCAUGGCAGCAGCUAUCAGCUUUGGAAGCUUUGGAAUGUGCCCUUCUAUGAUUACAAAUACUGGCUGCAUUAGAUUGGGUCCUAACUGCUCAUCCAUCGACUGGGUUAGGACCAGGAGCCUGCCUGGCACAGAGAUGUUCCCAUAGUCUACAACUGCAGUAGCUGAGUACCU